rnacentral:rRNA from 1 species
UGCUGGAGGUAUCAGAAGUGCGAAUGCUGACAUAAGUAACGAUAAAGCGGGUGAAAAGCCCGCUCGCCGGAAGACCAAGGGUUCCUGUCCAACGUUAAUCGGGGCAGGGUGAGUCGACCCCUAAGGCGAGGCCGAAAGGCGUAGUCGAUGGGAAACGGGUUAAUAUUCCCGUACUUGGUGUUACUGCGAAGGGGGGACGGAGAAGGCUAUGUUGGCCGGGCGACGGUUGUCCCGGUUUAAGCGUGUAGGYKKGUKUUCCAGGYAAAUCCGGAAAAUCAAGGCUGAGGCGUGAUGACGAGGCACUACGGUGCUGAAGCAACAAAUGCCCUGCUUCCAGGAAAAGCCUCUAAGCAUCAGGUAACAUCAAAUCGUACCCCAAACCGACACAGGUGGUCAGGUAGAGAAUACCAAGGCGCUUGAGAGAACUCGGGUGAAGGAACUAGGCAAAAUGGUGCCGUAACUUCGGGAGAAGGCACGCUGACAUGUAGGUGAAGUGAUUUACUCAUGGAGCUGAAGUCAGUCGAAGAUAC